CAAAUUAGAGCUUGUAAUAAGUAUUUUAUUUACAUUAAAAUGAAAAUUGUGAAAUUCAAUUUAAUUUGA
rnacentral:tRNA from 1 species